GACAGAGGGGGGCAAGCGUUGCUCGGAAUCACUGGGCGUAAAGGGCGCGUAGGCGGGAUGGCAAGUCGGACGUGAAAUCCCUCGGCUCAACCGAGGAACUGCGUCCGAUACUGGCAGGCUGGAAUCCGGGAGAGGGAUGUGGAAUUCCAGGUGUAGCGGUGAAAUGCGUAGAUAUCUGGAGGAACACCGGUGGCGAAGGCGGCAUCCUGGACCGGUAUUGACGCUGAGGCGCGAAAGCUAGGGGAGCAAACGGG
rnacentral:rRNA from 1 species